CCUACGGGUGGCAGCAGUGGGGAAUAUUGGACAAUGGGGGGAACCCUGAUCCAGCGACGCCGCGUGAGUGAAGAAGUAUUUCGGUAUGUAAAGCUCUAUCAGCAGGGAAGAAAGGAAUGAAGGUACCUGACUAAGAAGCUACGGCUAACUACGUGCCAGCAGCCGCGGUAAUACGCAGGGGGCAAGCGUUAUGCGGAUUUACUGGGUGUAAAGGGAGCGUAGACGGUGACGCAAGUCUGGGGUGAAAGGCGGGGGCCCAAGGCCCGGACUGCUUUGGAAACUGUAUAACUGGAGUGCAGGUGAGGUGAGUGGAAGGCCUGGUGUAGCGGUGAAAUGCGUAGAUAUUAGGAGGAACACCAGUGGCGAAGGCGGCUUACUGGUCUGUAACUGACGUUGAGGCUCGAAAGCGUGGGGAGCAAACAGGAUUAGAUACCCCGGUAGUC
rnacentral:rRNA from 1 species